UACGGGGGGGGGCAAGCGUUGUUCGGAAUUACUGGGCGUAAAGGGCUCGUAGGCGGCCAACUAAGUCAGACGUGAAAUCCCUCGGCUUAACCGGGGAACUGCGUCUGAUACUGGAUGGCUUGAGGUUGGGAGAGGGAUGCGGAAUUCCAGGUGUAGCGGUGAAAUGCGUAGAUAUCAGGAAGAACACCCGUGGCGAAAGCGGCUCUCUGGAACGGUACUGACGCUGAGACGCGAAAGCGUGGGGAGCGAACAGG
rnacentral:rRNA from 1 species